rnacentral:rRNA from 1 species
UGCAAGUCGAGCGCGAACGUCCCCUUCGGGGGGCUAGUAGAGCGGCGGACGGGUGAGUAACACGUGGCUAACCUGCCCUCCAGCGGGGGACAACCACUCGAAGGGGUGGCUAAUACCGCAUACGUCGAGAUGGUCUGCGGACUAUCUCGGGAAAGCUGGCCUCUUUACAAUGCUGGCGCUGGAGGAGGGGGCCGCGUCNCAUCANCUUGUUGGNGAGGUAAUGGCUCACCAAGGCAAAGACGCGUANCUGGUCUGAGAGGAUGAUCAGCCACACUGGGACUGAGACACGGCCCAGACUCCUACGGGAGGCANCAGUGGGGAAUAUUGGACAAUGGGCGAAAGCCUGAUCCAGCCACGCCGCGUGAGUGAUGAAGGCCCUCGGGUCGUAAAGCUCUGUGGAGAGGGACNAACCACCUGUAGUUAAUACCUGCAGGUCUGACGGNACCUCUUUANNAAGCNCCGGCUAACUCCGUGUCA